rnacentral:rRNA from 1 species
GGGGGGACCACCCUCCAACCCUAAAUACUACCCAGUGACCGAUAGCGUAUAGUACUGUGAAGGAAAGGUGAAAAGCACCCCGGGAGGGGAGUGAAAAAGAACCUGAAACCCUGUGCCUACAAGCACCUAGAGCACGUCAAAGUGUGAUAGGGUACUUUUUGUAGAACGGUCCGGCGAGCGAUUGUAUGCAGCAAGGUUAAGGACUUAAGGUCUGGAGCCGAAGCGAAAGCGAGUUUGAAAAGGGCGUUAAGUUGCAUAUAAUGGGCCCGAAACCGGGUGACCUACCCAUGGUCAGGUUGAAGUGGAAGUAAAAUUCCAUGGAGGACCGAACCGACCUCCGUUGAAAAGGCGGCGGAUGAACUGUGGGUAGCGGAGAAAUUCCAAUCGAACCCGGAGAUAGCUGGUUCUCCCCGAAAUAGUUUUAGGACUAGCCUCAAGUUAGAUACCUGGAGGUAAAGCACUGAAUAGCCUAGCGGCCGAGAGGUUAGCGAAGCUUAUCAAACUCAGAAUGCCAGAGUAUUGAUGCUUGGGAGUCAGACAGUGUCAGAUAAAUGUCAUUGUCAAAAGGGAAACAGCCCAGAUCUACAGCUAAGGUCCCAAAGUCAGGUUAAGUGGAAAACGAUGUGAAGAUACGCAGACAACCAGGAUGUUGGCUCAGAAGCAGCCACUCAUUCAAAGAGUGCGUAAUAGCUCACUGGUCGAGCGUCUUUGCGCGGAGAAUUUAACGGGGCUAAACCUGACACCGAAGCUUAGGCAAUACAGCAAUGUAUUGGGUAGGGGAGCGUUGUAUACGCGGUGAAACAGUAGCGCAAGCGGCUGUGGAGUGUAUAGAAGUGAGAAUGCCGGAAUGAGUAGCGCGAAUGCAGUGAGAAUCUGCAUGGCCGAAAGCCUCAGGUUUCUGGAGGAAGGUUCGUCCGCUCCAGGUUAGUCGGGAGCUAAGGUGAGGCCUAACGGCGUAGCCGAUGCACAGACGGUAGAGAUUCCGUCACCACCAAAAGAGUUAAACACAGGGACACAUAUGAAGUCUCGGAGCCGGGUGUUGGUUCCGGUAGCGAUCGAGGGAAGUUAGUACCGAAGUCCGGGAUGGAAGAUGGCGAGAAAAGCUGUGUGAAUUUCUGCGGUGCCCGUACCGCAAACCGACACAGGUAGGUAGGAAGAAGAUUCUAAGGCCAACGGGAGAAGGGUUGUUAAGGAACUCGGCAAAUUGACCCCGUAACUUCGGGAGAAGGGGUGCUGCAGCAAUGCAGCCGCAGAGAAUCGGCCCAAGCAACUGUUUACCAAAAACACAGGUUUGUGCUAAAUCGAAAGAUGACGUAUACGAGCUGACGCCUGCCCGGUGCUGGAAGGUUAAGAGGAGAUGUGCAAGCAUUGAAUCGAAGCCCCAGUGAACGGCGGCCGUAACUAUAACGGUCCUAAGGUAGCGAAAUUCCUUGUCAGGUAAGUUCUGACCCGCAUGAAAGGCGUAAUGAUUUGGGCACUGUCUCAACAGCCCGCCCGGCGAAAUUGUAGUACCGGUGAAGAUGCCGGUUACCCGCGACAAGACGGAAAGACCCCAUGGAGCUUUACUGUAGCCUAAUAUUGGGUUUCGAUGUUGCAUGCACAGGAUAGAUGGGACACUGGGAAGCAGGUGCUUUGGCGCUUGUGGAGUGGCCGUUGGGAUACCAUCCUUGCGAUAUUGGAAUUCUAACCUGCGCCUUUGAAUCAAGGCGGGGGACAUUGUUAGGUGGGCAGUUUGACUGGGGCGGUCGCCUCCUAAAGAGUAACGGAGGCGUUCAAAGGUUCGCUCAGCUUGAACGGAAAUCAAGCAAAAGAGUGCAAACGCAGAAGCGAGCCUAACUGCGAGACUGACGGGUCGAGCAGUAACGAAAGUUGGAGUUAGUGAUCCGGUGGUAUGUGAGUGGAAAUGCCAUCGCUCAACGGAUAAAAGUUACCCUGGGGAUAACAGGCUGAUCUCCCCCAAGAGUCCACAUCGACGGGGAGGUU